ACCUCUAGCCAGGGACGCGCGCUCGGUCCCCCGCCGUGCGCCCCCGGUCCCGCGCCCAGGCUCCCGCCCCUGGCCUCCUUACCAGCCACUUGUCGCCCAGCUGCGAACUGGAGCGGGAGGCGGCGGCCGAAGGGCCCAGGACAGCCCCGGGAGGGCGGCGAGGCGGAGCAGGAGCGCCCCGGCUCCGGCCACAUUCUCAGAGUCAGGAAAAGGGGCGAGAGGCCACAUGUCUCCCUCUCGCCAAACUGAAAACGAAACGGCGCUCCAGCAGAUUGGGUGGAAAGAGCUGUGUCUGUUUUCUCUGUUUUUCACGCUAGAAAGGGCUUGUAAACAUUGUUCCUUUUAAAAUGACCUACCCCGGGAGGUUUGGGCACACUUCUGUCCUGGGGUCAUCGUUCGUAGGUGGCUUCGGACCUGGGACUUUGAUUUCCUGUAUCUGCACAUUGUCGUUUUAUACACAAUUGCCAAGGUAGGACUGCUUUCAACUUUACUGUGCUUGAAGCUGCAAAGGUUCUGCCCUGAUGUUUCCUGGAAUAAUGCUGAGGACUGCCUUUCGGGUAGCCUCCCUAUUCAGUUCACUUCAUCUCGGAAAUACCUGACCCCUGCCUUGGAUCCAGCGGCCCUCCUGAGAGCUGAGGAAGGAGGAAAUCCUACAUGUCUGCUCCCGGAGCUGCCACAACCCAUCUUCCCACAACUCGGAACUUGGAAAAAGGAACCCAGGACACGACUUUGCUUUUCUUUUGGACCUAGUUGGUGAUUAUACUCUGUCUCCCAUGGAGACCACGUCUUGCAUCCUUCCUUCUAUAUGGGAUUUAGGAUAGAAAUUAAAAAGAAAACAUAUUAUUUUGAGUCUUGAUUUGGAGAAAGGUAGUAUUCAGGAGGAAGUAGGCUAUGAUACACAUAGAAAAUUUGAGGACAGUGUUACUUAACAAGGACAUUUCUGUCUCUGCAGAAGUCACAGCUUGGAGGAAACCAGUUUGCACUGUUUGAGGAGGAAUUUGGCCACCAAACCACUGAUACUUUCCCAAAGGUUUGGCAGAAAUUGUUUUUUGAGUGGCUCACCAGAGUACCUAGAAGAAUCAGCAUGGAAUUAGAGGACAGUGGCCUACCCUAAAUAAAGACAUGAGUGAUGUG
rnacentral:lncRNA from 1 species